rnacentral:rRNA from 1 species
GAACGCGAAGAACCUUACCAUCCCUUGACAUGGCAUGUUACCUCGGGAGACCGGGGAUCCUCUUCGGAGGCGUGCACACAGGUGCUGCAUGGCUGUCGUCAGCUCGUGUCGUGAGAUGCUGGGUUAAGUCCCGCAACGAGCGCAACCCACGUCCUUAGUUGCCAUCAUUCAGUUGGGCACUCUAGGGAGACUGCCGGUGAUAAGCCGCGAGGAAGGUGUGGAUGACGUCAAGUCCUCAUGGCCCUUACGGGAUGGGCUACACACGUGCUACAAUGGCGGUGACAGUGGGACGCGAAACCGCGAGGUCGAGCAAAUCCCCAAAAACCGUCUCAGUUCGGAUUGCACUCUGCAACUCGGGUGCAUGAAGGCGGAAUCGCUAGUAAUCGUGGAUCAGCACGCCACGGUGAAUACGUUCCCGGGUCUUGUACACACC